rnacentral:lncRNA from 1 species
CUGAGCCAGGUGCGGAAGGUGACGUCACCUCUCCCAGCUCCAUUUCCGUCCCGCCCACCAAUCCCGGCCUGGUCCACAAGGCUUUCGCCUCGUCGCCCCUCCCCGACGGCUCCGGAGGUCCCACGACGCUCCCAUUCCCUUGCGCAUCCAGCACUGCACUUUCCGUUGCGUUUCAGUCCCGGCGGAGUCGGGGCACGGACUCCUGCGGGUCACACAAGCUCCAAUGAGAGGUCGGUCUGAACUGGAUUAGGAAAGCGUUCGCCAGCAUCGUUACCAGUAGUGGAAAUAUUUUAGUAUUUGUGUCCCAUGACCCUAGGAACUGAUGAAGGAAGCAGAGCCAGCACCGUGUUUGAGCGUCUGCGACAGCGCUUUCCUUUUUAAUCUUAACAACAAUUCUUGGGGGUAAAAUUGUUAUUCCCUAGUCUGCUCACUUUUCCAAUAGAGUGUUCUCAAAAGACUUUCUUUAAACUUGUACCACUACCACAUUCUUUAAGGAGUGAUGGCUCGGGAGUUAUUAUUUUUUAAAAAUGAAUUUAAUAGUUGUAAGAGAUGUAUACGUUCCCACAUAAAGUAAAAUGUUAAAAUUGUCUCCUCCCUUAAAAUUUACAUGGUUUGUUUC